CGAAUGCAAACGGGUCAUGCUGAGGUCCCCAGAGGAGGAUGGGUCACGUUGAGGUCUCUGAGGGAGCUGGGCCAUGCCAAGGGGCCCUUCCCAGCAGAGAUGCCAGAGGUGAACGUCUCAUCCUUGGCAGAGUCUGGGCUCUCCUCUCCUUCAUGCCCCAGGGGUCGUCAAGAUUCAGAGGGAGGUUAAUUUCUUGGAAACAUCUCACCUUGUUUUUGAUCCACUGUGAAUGGUAUAGGAGCUGAGCAGGAGGGAAGAGAGAGAGAAGAAAGGCAGCUCCACCAAAAGCCACAUAAACAGCUGAAUGAAUGAAAAGGAUUAAAAAUAACACCCAACCCCGAGGUGAAAUUAGGAGAAAUAAAUGGCUAAAACA